GACUCCCCGGAGAAGGAAGAGGACGGCCCCUCGGGGCCGCACAGAAUGGACAGGCCAAGCGACAGGAGGGAGGCCGCCCGCGCUCCUCCAGGGCCUCGAGGAAGGCACAGUCACACCUGCAAAACACAGCGCCCAUCUUUCUCAUCCGCUUUUACUUCUCAGGAGACCCCGGUCCCCAGAGACCUGUUUUCACCUCCCUGGCUCGGCACACAUGUUUUCUACAUGAUAUUAACCGGUCGCCUUUGAAUCUCGCACAUCCUGGUAUGCUUUGGAUCCACCGACCUCAUUUUCACACACACACACACGCACACGCACACACACACACACCCCGGAAGCUGUACUAGCUGACUGCCGGCAAAAGAAAACGUUAGCGUGGCUCUCUCUCCUUCUUUUAAACAGCUUAAUUGAGAUACAAUGUACACGCCAUACAACUCACUUAAAGUGUGUUCUUGCCUGACUUUGCGUUUAUUUACUGGGGUGUGCAUUAGCUGUUUCUUCUUGAGAAAUGGGGCCGCCGGGUGGACAUUUUGACCCUAUAGGCUCCCCCCUUUGACAGGUGACAUCUAAAUAGAGAGCAGAUUCUGUCCAUGUUUCCACCCCCUUCGCCCCCCCUCCAAAAGUUGUUUUACUCUUUUUCCAACUUACAACCUACUUCCUGUGUUUGGAGUCUGAGCCGCCCAGGCCUUUUCAGGAGACUUGCUGCCUUGUUUCUGCACUAAUAAGAAGGGCCAGGAGGCAUGUCUGAGGAGAUGGCACAUCAACAAGGACCCAGAUGAGUUGAAAGAGGCAUGAGCCGUGGAAGAAUGUUCUCUGCCCGAGAGACCGGUAAAGGCCCUGAUAUGAGAGCGCCGGAGACCGGUGAAGUCUAGCGGCAUGCAUUUUCCCUUGGGCAACAUCAGAUGAGAACAUCAUUUCAUUUGCAUCGCAGGGGAGACAGACAAACAGAAAGCAGAGAGACAAACAGAAAAUCAGAGACAGCAUCCCGCUUGGACACCUCCAAGAAUUCAACUGCCUUCAACAAAUUCUAUCAAAUCCCUACUGUGUGCCAGGCGCUAGGAUACGAGGAGGGCUUGUCAUCAAUGCUGGAUUGCCCAGUGUGCAGACGAGACCCUCACUUAAAAGUCCAGAAAGCAUGGCUGAGAGAGAGCAGAAUGUUCUGGGCACAAAGAACAGCAGGGAGGUUGUCCUGAGGCAACACCCAGUUUGGUGCGUCUGAGGGACUGAAAAGUGCCCACUGCUUCAGUGAAGCUGAAAGGGUCCUGAGAUCGUGGGGAUUAUUAUUCAGAAAAUGAGCCUCCCCGACUCCUGCUUUGGGUGGAAUACACUUCCUUGCACCGCAGACGUUGGACUUGGCCGUGUGACUUUGUUGGCUAAUAGGCCGUUAGCGAGCGUGAGUCCGGCAGGCCUUGAGGGGACUUAAGAAGACAAACCAAUCUUUACAAACCACGGCAGGACCGGGAUGGAAAAAAACAAAAACAACAACAAAAACCACACACACCAAAUAGGGAAGUCUGGUUAAGAACACCAGAGAGGACCUGUUUUAGACAGGAGACCAGAGAAGGCUUCUCUAGUUAGGUGAAGUUGUCUGAGAGAUGAAAAUGAUCACACACAAAAAAAUGGCUGAGAGAGAGAAGAAUGUUCUGGGGACAAACAACAGCAGGGAGGUUGUCCUGAGGCAACACCCAGUUUGGUGCGUCUGAGGGACUGAAAAGUGCCCACUGCUUCAGUGAGGCCCAAUGGGUAGGUCUCUUACUCAUUUGCCAUAGGACAGGGGUUAGUCAACACCUUUUUUUUUGUAAAGCACCUAAUAGUAAAUAUUUUAGGCAUUUUAGGCCUUGGGGUCUCUGUCGCAAUGAUUCAACUAUGACAUUAUAGUGCAAAAAACCAUACACCAUAAAUAAAUGUAUGUGCUCCAUUCCACUAAAACUGUAUAUGUGGGCAUCAAAAUUGGAAUCUUAUUAGGACAGUUCUACAAAUAGUAAGCAUGGGCGUGAAGACACAUAGGAUUUUCAUAUUUAGUGCAUUUCCAACAUAUCGGGUUGGAAUAAUUUUGGAAUACUAUGGAAAUAUUAUGAUAUUUGAUGUAUCUCGACCUUGGAACUCUGGUGAGUUCUCUGUCAAAAUAGAAUAUAGGUCAUACCGGUAAGAACAAGAGAUAAUUUUGACUGAAAGUAAUGACAAGCUAUUGGGGUCUUUUGUUAGGUUUAUUUAGUUAUUUUAGAGAGAGAGAGAGAGAGACAGAGGGACAGAGACAGCACACACAAGUGGGAGAUGGGCAGAGAGAGAGGCAGACACA